CUUCCUGUGCUACUUCUACGCUGCCUGUUUAAGGAACGUCUCCGCUGGAGCGUUGUUGAUGGUUCUGUGUCUAUCUUGCGGACAAAGAUACGAAGAAGAUGUGUGCCAGCCUGAUUUGGUGCUGUUGACCACUCCAAGUGAAAGCUAUAGGAGACUGGGAGGAUUCCUUGGAGCUAAAUGAUCUGGGUUGUGGUUGUCUUUGAGGGCGAAGACUUUGUGAAGGAGAAAGUUGUGAAAAAGUGGAGAGUGUAAAAGGUCACCUUACUAGCUCAGGCUAGCAGGAGUUUGGACAAGGGGUCCAAUUGAAAGUUGUGACAGAAACCAAAGACAUUUCAAAGCUACAUCAAGCGAGGCCAAUUCUGACUUGUUGUCUAAAGCUGAAUCUAUAGUCACC